UACGGAGGGUGCGAGCGUUGUCCGGAAUCAUUGGGCGUAAAGGGCGCGUAGGUGGCUUCUUAAGCGUGCGGUGAAAGCCUGGGGCUCAACCCCGGGUCGGCCGUGCGAACUGGGGGGCUGGAGCACUGUAGAGGCAGGCGGAAUUCCGGGUGUAGCGGUGGAAUGCGUAGAGAUCCGGAAGAACACCGGUGGCGAAGGCGGCCUGCUGGGACAGUGCUGACGCUGAAGCGCGACAGCGUGGGGAGCAAACAGG
rnacentral:rRNA from 1 species